UAGUAAUCUAAUUACUAAUUAAUUCUUCAAAAAAUAGUAAAGUUUUAGUCCCAGUGGGACUCUCCUCUAGAGUCUUAGUUCGAGUAGGACUCUUCACCAGAGUCACAAUCCAAUUGGACUCUUCAACCAUCAGAUCCAAUCAAAUCUUCUAAUGCAUGUGAUCCUAUAGGUUUGAACCUAAAUUGGUAGCAUAGAAAUAGCUUUCUAUAUCAAUCGAUGUAACCAUCUAGCAAUGAUGACCCGACGAUCGGAUAGGUUGAAGUAUUGCAAAGCAACCUUCUAGAACCUACUGGCAUAUGGUUACCGUAUAAUUCAUUCCUUUGAUCCAAAUGCUUAAGGCAACCUAAGAUUUAACUGUUAACCCUAAUUUAGUCGACUAUAUUAUAUUUUAACUUUUUAAAUUCAUCUCAUGGA
rnacentral:lncRNA from 1 species